AGUUAAACUUAUAUAUUAAUACGAAGUAUUUAUGGCGAAACUCCCGAGGGAACAGUACUAGUUGAAGACCUUAGAAAUAAUCACAGAUUUAUCUGUGCAGUAUUUCUGGCUGAAACUGUACCCUGGGAAAGGGAGCCCCUACAAUAC
rnacentral:misc_RNA from 1 species